GUGUAUGGAGGGACAAGAUGAAAAUAUCCAAUUCAAGUUCACACACUUUUUAAUGAGAAAUAUCAGAUUUAAAAGUUGUGGCACGCCAAAAGAUAACAAGUAAUGAACAGGAUUCGGUCACAAAUUUAUGGAGUUGAAAACCAAAAUCCUAAAUCAUCUUAAUUAUUUAGAGAUUACCCACAUGAAGCAAAUGCCUAAUUGCAGCAACUGCAUCACCUUUGUGUUCCCUUAAUGUUCUUUCAGCCACCUUCUUGUCCAGCUUUCAUUUGCAAUGAUGUCAACUUCAGCAGCAUUGAUUUUGACAGCAGCCAACUCUUUCUCCCUUGA
rnacentral:lncRNA from 1 species